rnacentral:rRNA from 1 species
CGGAACGGGUGGAGUAACGCGUGAAUAACCUGACUCAAAGAGGGGGAGUAACAACGGGAAACUGUUGCUAAUACCGCAUGAGACCACAACACCGCAUGAUGAAGGGGUCAAAGAUUUAUCGCUUUGAGAGGGGUUCGCGUCCCAUUAGGUAGUUGGAGGGGUAACGGCCCACCAAGCCAACGAUGGGUAGCCGAGCUGAGAGGCUGAUCGGCCACACUGGAACUGAGACACGGUCCAG